rnacentral:pre_miRNA from 1 species
UCCAGAUGUCACUUGGCAUACACCUGAGUGACUUUAGUGGACAUCUCAAGUUUCCAACUAAGGCACGCGGUGAAUGCCACGUGGCGAUUCUGGA